CUGGUGUCGUCCUGUGAGAGCUUCACAGGCGCGUCAGCUGCCCCGUCUUCCUGAGGAUGGCGCAGGUGAGGCGGAUGACAGAUUCUUGGCGUGAGGAAUGGACGCCUAGGUCGCCGCCAGCAGCGUGGGCAGGUCAAAGAGUUGUGGAUAGGAGCGUUGUCCAUGGCAAUAUAAAUGGGCUGCUCUGGUGGGAUGAGCAUGGCCCGGGCUGUUGGGACCAUUACAUCCACCAGUAUUUCAUCAUACUGGCGGGCUGUAAGACGUUCUUCUAUAACUGUCAGCUCUCCUGGACCACUGGUUGCCAUCCAUCCCCAAAGCCCUGCGGUGAUUCUCCCACUCCGCCGAGAAGGCUGAGUGUUCUGGGACUCGUACCUAAAGAUAGGAUUUAUUGUUAUUCUAUGCAUAUUCAAUGAAAUUUACAAGUACUAUGUAAUAGGCUACCACAAGUAGUUUGAUACUCGUGUAAAGUAAUGGGAUUAGUAAAUAAAAAUGAAGACAUGGCAACUAAACCUGUAACUUAGCAACACACCAGUGCAGGGUGUGUGUAGCCAAGUAGUAGGAUGAUAGAUAGGUUAGUCAUUCAAGCAGUGUUGUGCGCACUACUUGCUAAAAGUAGUGUCACUACCGCUACAGCUACUCAUUUCAAAAUGUAUAGUGCACUACCGCUACUACUGCCGCUACCGCUACUUGUGAACAAUAAGUACUGAAAAAAACAUAAUUCUCUUCUAUACAUAUUGUUACGUUCCACGUCCUUGAUAGAGUACUGAGUAAGUCACUUUACACUUGCUGUAUAUGAGGCUAGAAGAUUCACUCACAUACCUCUGCUCUGCUAGUUGACUCAUCCAGUAUUUACCAGUUUCCAAGGCUUCUUGAGCCGUGAUCAGGAAUAUCCACGAGUGAGUAAUCACUUACUGUCCACAGGUAGGCAGCCAGCCACACCUCCAGUCGCAGAUUCACUAGAGCGAGCGUUAGGUGACUGACAUGAGUGACGGGCCGCGGCUCAGCCCACUGGACUGUACAAGUUUCAUUCGCGUUUUCAUCACGUACGUAGUUGGUCUGUAGCAGUCACCGCUCGAAUCGCGUGUUCCUUCCCCUCAGUGACACAUAAGAAAAUGGUGCACUGCAGAGAAAGACUUUAAAAUUCUGUGUUGUCAUGUUCAUCGUCAGUACUUGUCUCUGUCCGCGUCGUGUCUUCAAUGUUUAGCUUUCUUGUACUCGUUUACCUUUCACUGUCCGUCUGUGUCCUUCUGUUGUCCACCGUUACACAUUGUUAUACACAUACAUCAACACUUAAAUGUUAACCUACACAAACAACAUUCACACAAACGCAUACCCACACAAACACCUUUUCUUUGUGUUGUGUUUGUCUGAAUGACUUGUUAUAUUGUCCUCCAAUAAAGUUACCCUGGCG